UGUAAUUAUCCUCCUUUUUUUUUUUUUUUUCAAGGAAUUGGUUAGUUGUCCAAAAACAAGUAACGGCGGGAGAUAGGAUUCGAUAAAAAUAACAGAACGCGAAAAAUGCCUAAAAUAAUUCUAAUAAUCUAGAUUUGUCAUGCCGCGUUGUUGUAUUAGACCCAAGGGUUCUUUCUUGACCUACCUACAACGCGUGGGCUUUAUCCUUUAUAGAUAAUAUGGAAAGACAAAAUAGAAAAUCUAUAAAGGAAAAGAUAAUAGGAGUUCUUACUUAGUUUAGAAUCGAAUUGAACCGAAAUAAAAAAUUUUCUUUUUUGAGUGAUCUGAUUGUGCGAUACCUUUUUUCUUCUCAUUUGAAAUAUUAUGGAAUGAACCCACCGCUGAACCUAAUGAGUUAAAAUAUAAAGUAAAUAAAAUAAAGUCAAAAAGAAAUAAAAAAGAAAAAAGUAAAGCAAAGGUUAUUUAAAGUAUUAAAGUAAAGAAAAAAGUAUUAUAAGGUGGUCACUCUUUAGUCGAAAAAUGUAUUUGAUACAAUAAAAAAGAAAAAAUUAAAAUACAAAAUAGAAGCGAUUCCUCAAAGUUACAUGGCAUAGUUUUAGUAUUUUUUUAAUAUUAGUUGAUUCAAGAGUGCCCACUCAAUCUGUUGAUUCGGAAUCGUGGGAUGGGUCGCUGUAAAAGACGAUGAAUUGGUUUCUUUUUCUAUCCCUGCCACUCAUUUUUGUUAGUACCUUCUAGAAUACUUGAAGAAUCAAAACUUUCAAUUGAAGGUAUUCUUUCAAUGGGUAGAGCAUUUUUGCUUAUCUUCGUAUCGUCCAAAAGUGGAAACUUAGGAAGUGCUUUAUAAACAUAUGUAUAAAAAGAACAUAUUUCCUUUAGCUCUGUCAUGCCUACUAUAACUAGUUAUUUUGGUUUUCUACUAGCGGCUUUAACUAUAACCUCGGCUCUAUUUAUUGGUCUGAGUAAGAUAGGACUUAUUUGAAAUUAAUUGAAGGAAUAAUUCAUAAAAAGAAACCCUUCUGUGGUAUUCCACAUAUUGUCUAGUUCCUUACCGUACCACGUUAAUUACCAAUUAUUGGUUAUUGAGAUUCCUAGGCAAGGCAGAUUAAUAUUUAGGAAUAGAUAUUACCUCUCUUUUAACCUUUCAAAUAAAAAAAAAAAAUAAAUAAAAUUCAAAUGAUUGAAGUCUUUCUAUUUGGAAUCGUCUUAGGUCUAAUUCCUAUUACUUUGGCUGGAUUAUUCGUAACCGCCUAUUUACAAUACAGACGUGGUGAUCAGUUGGACCUUUGAUUAAUUAACAUCUCUUUUUUUAACUGACCCCUCCCUUCUUUAAUUUAAUCCGAGGGGAGGUCAGGGUCAAAUUCAGAUUGCUGUUCAAUUAUUUCAGUUCAGUGUGUAUGGUUUUAGAUCUAAGACGACAAGAGCGGAAUCACGCUCUGUAGGAUUUGAACCUACGACAUUGGGUUUUGGAGACCCACGUUCUACCGAACUGAACUAAGAGCGCUUUCUUAUCACAACGAAAAAGGCUGGAAAUAAGGAGAUUCUCUUUUUUUACCCCAACAAUUCUUGUAUGUGUAUACUAUCAUAUAUCAUAAAAUAGAAAUUUAUGUAUGUCAAAAUGAAAUCGAUCGAAAAAAAAAAAAAAAAAAGAUCUCGCGUUACUGCUGCUCUGAGCGGUAAUUGGUAGGGAUGACAGGAUUUGAACCCGUGACAUUUUGUACCCAAAACAAACGCGCUACCAAGCUGCGCUACAUCCCUUUCAAUUGGCCUACAAUAUCAUUGUAAAGAAUCCCUGUCUUGUUUUCCACAUCCUUAUUUUUAUUCCCUCUAGUGAUAUGCAAAAUGGAUCUUGCCUUUUCUUGUUUUUGGUCUCAUAUCAUAUACCAUAUAAAUAAUAAUAAAUUAUUAUUUUCUUGGGAAUUCGCAGGUGUAAAGUGACCCUUUUUCUGUUUAAGAAAAAAAAAAAAAGAAAAUCAAAUCUUAUAUACCGAAUCAUUGCGCAUUUCAAUUUGAAUUAGGGAUUCCGCGCACAAAUACAAGUGGCCUUUAACUACAUAUACAUCUCUUACCAUAAUAUAUUCCAAUAGGGAAUACAAAAACAAAAAAGAAGGAGGAUUUUCAAUGCGAGAUCUAAAAACAUAUCUUUCCGUGGCACCGGUACUAAGUACUCUAUGGUUCGGGUCUUUAGCAGGGUUAUUGAUAGAAAUCAACCGUUUAUUCCCGACGCAUUGACAUUUCCUUUUUUUCAUUCUAGUUAUUGAACUGGAACGGGGUGAAGAAGAUUAGAGCUAGAAUCAAAUAUUUGUGACUAAUCUCUCUUUCCCCUCUUUUCGUUUUUUUGUUUUACAAUUAGAAAGAAGGAAAGCGAAAGAAAAAAGGUGGCUUCAACCUCAGCGAAACCCGGGUUCAGGCUCCGAUUAAAUUAAUAUUUAAUUAUCCAGUUAAAAAGCAAAUAGACAGGUAAAAGAAAACGGAAAUCGAAAUAUGGCUAGGGUAAGAGUAUCCUCCACUACAAGAUCCUUAAAUGAAAUACUGGACUGCGAUUUAGCAAUAUAGUUAGAAAUUCUUGUAUUACUUAUUAUUUUUUAUUUUGAUUUCCUAUUUAUUUACUAUAUUGAUUGCAAUAAAAUCUUUAUUUCAUAAGUUUUUUUGAGUGGUUAGCAACUUCUAUUUUUUGUCCGUGCUUCUUAUUCGUUGCGGGUCGGAAAAUAGAAAAGUUGGGUGAAUCAAAAACCCCAAGGAGGUUCAUGGCCAAGGGUAAAGAGGUCCGAGUAAGGGUUAUUUUGGAAUGUACUAGUUGUGUUCGAAACGGUGUUAAUAAGGAAUCAAGGGGUAUUUCCAGAUAUAUUACUCAAAAGAAUCGACACAAUACACCCAGUCGAUUGGAAUUGAGAAAAUUCUGUCCCUAUUGUUACAAGCAUACACUUCAUGGGGAGAUAAAAAAAUAGAUAGAGUCAAGCCGCGUGCUUUUGUGUCACCCUUCCAAGGGACAUGAAAAACUAAUCUAGAUAUAUAUCUAGAUUAUUUCAUAUAUUUUAAUAAAAACAAAUAAAUAAAUCUAGACAAACCAAAUCCUAUAAUGGAUUUCUAUAAAUCAUUUUUUGAUUCAUCGAAAUGGAUUUUAGGGAUAAGGAAUAAACAAAUUAUGGAUAAAACCAAGCGACUCUUUCUUAAAUCCAAGCGAUCUUUUCGUAGGCGUUUGCCCCCGAUCCAAUCGGGGAUCGAAUUGAUUAUAGAAACAUGACUUUAAUUAGUCGAUUUCUUAGUGAACAAGGAAAAAUAUUAUCUAGACGGUGAAUAGAUUGACCUAAAAAGAACAACGAUUAAUUACUAUUGCUAUAAAACAAGCUCGUAUUUUAUCUUCGUUACCUUUUCUAAUAAUGAGAAACAAUUUGAAAGAAGUGGUUGACCGCUAGACCUCCCGGUCUUAGAACAGAAAAAAAUAGGCUUACUCUUCAAUUAAAUAAAAAAUUCCAAUCUGAACUCAAACACAGAUGGAUGUUUUGUUCAAAAAAUCUGUGAAGCAGCCGUGCCGUAAGAAAAAAAAAAAAAAGAAUUGGGAAAGAAGAAUAAAAUCAAUCUUUUUUUUUAUUGAGCGUGUUCGCUCAUUUUGACGACUUUAUCAUAUUAUUUCUACUCUACCUUCCUCUUACUGGAGUUCAUUCUCCAGAGAACUCCGUUUAAAAAUUAUAAUGGAUUCCUUCCAAUUUCCUUAUUUUAUAAUCUCAUUGGAAAUCAUAUAAAGACAAUUCCUAUUUGAUAUAGCUAUUUGUGCAAGUAUCUUACGAUUAAGAACCAACUGCGCCUUAUACAGAUUGUAUAUUAAUCUACUAUAACUAUAGGAUACCAGAUUUCCGCGAAUUACUGCAUUUAUUCGGGUGAUCCACAAACGACGAAAAUCUCUUUUUUUCCUAUCUCUAUCGCGAUGAGCCGAAACCAAAGCUCUUAUUUUCUGUUGAGUAAUUGUUCGGCUAAGUCGUGAAUGAGCCCCGCGAAAGCUUGAUACAAAUAAACGCAUUUUUGUUCUACGUCUCCGAGCUAUAUAUCCUCGUCUAAUUCUGGUCAUUGAAUAAAUGAAACUUUGAUGAAUAACUAAUUGAUUUCCUUUCUUUCAGUUAUUCUUUUCCCUUUCCUAGUCUAUUAAUAACAAAACGGACUCUUCCAAUUUAUAAAAUCAAAAUUCCAAUGGCUUUUGCUACUCUAACCUUCCGACCACGCUUUUACCUUUUGUCGAGGCAUUGGAAAGAAAAUAGUAAAAAAAAAACGAAAGUAGUAAAUAGAUAAAGAAAUUGUGGGUUCCGUCGUCUCUAUGAUUACUUCUUAAACGGUGAGGCCCUCUCUAUACACCGGAGCCACUUCCUUCAUUUAAUCAAUUCUAUUGGUAACUUGUACAGUUACACUCUUCGGCUCUACCCAUGAAUUUUCUAGUAAUAGGUCUUUCAUAACGAGAUAGACCUUAUACAGUAACGGUAUUUAAUUAUGAAGAUUGGUGGGGUAGCUGACCUUGUUAGUCCGUUCUUGCAAGAGUAGAAAGAUAAUCUUCUGCUUUUUUAUAGUAUUUCCCCCGCUUAAUGGAUAAACUAUUUGUUACCAAUGGGGAAUUCUUUCUCACCUUAAAUUAAUUGCAAAUUGAGGUGGUGGAAUUUGCGCCAGUGGAAACCAUAAAUUUCAUACACAAUAGAAAGAUAUGAUAGAUCGAUCUUUUUUAGAUAGUGAAUGGAGUUCUUCUUCUUCUAUUCUAUCCGAUUCACAGGUACUGAUCAUUGAUACUUAAAAAAAGGGUUUCUUUCUUUUGGUUUGUCUCAGCCCAUGAUUGAAACGAGUCGCACAUACACCCUUGUACAUGUUCCUCGGCGCUGAGGACAUCCCCGCAGAGCGGGGAUUUGGUAACAUUUCUAAUUGGCUGUCUU
rnacentral:lncRNA from 1 species